rnacentral:rRNA from 1 species
CAGCAGCCGCGGGAAUACGGAGGGUGCAAGCGUUAUCCGGAUUUAUUGGGUUUAAAGGGUCCGUAGGCGGAUCUGUAAGUCAGUGGUGAAAUCUCACAGCUUAACUGUGAAACUGCCAUUGAUACUGCAGGUCUUGAGUAAAUUUGAAGUGGCUGGAAUAAGUAGUGUAGCGGUGAAAUGCAUAGAUAUUACUUAGAACACCAAUUGCGAAGGCAGGUCACUAAGAUUUAACUGACGCUGAUGGACGAAAGCGUGGGGAGCGAACAGGAUUAGAUACCCCGGUAGUCCCUGUCUCUUAUAC